UUCGGGUUGUAAACCUCUUUCAGUACCGACGAAGCGCAAGUGACGGUAGGUACAGAAGAAGCACCGGCCAACUACGUGCCAGCAGCCGCGGUAAUACGUAGGGUGCGAGCGUUGUCCGGAAUUAUUGGGCGUAAAGGGCUCGUAGGCGGUUUGUCGCGUCGGGAGUGAAAACGCCGUGCUUAACACGGCGCUUGCUUUCGAUACGGGCAGACUAGAGGUAUGCAGGGGAGAACGGAAUUCCUGGUGUAGCGGUGAAAUGCGCAGAUAUCAGGAGGAACACCGGUGGCGAAGGCGGUUCUCUGGGAAUAUCCUGACGCUGAGGAGCGAAAGUGUGGGGAGCGAACAGGAUUAGAUACCCUGGUAGUCCACACCGUAAACGUUGGGCGCUAGGUGUGGGGUCCAUUCCACGGAUUCCGUGCCGCAGCUAACGCA
rnacentral:rRNA from 1 species